rnacentral:rRNA from 1 species
UGGGUAACCUGCCUGUAAGACUGGGAUAACUCCGGGAAACCGGAGCUAAUACCGGAUAGUUCCUUGAACCGCAUGGUUCAAGGAUGAAAGACGGUUUCGGCUGUCACUUACAGAUGGACCCGCGGCGCAUUAGCUAGUUGGUGAGGUAACGGCUCACCAAGGCGACGAUGCGUAGCCGACCUGAGAGGGUGAUCGGCCACACUGGGACUGAGACACGGCCCAGACUCCUACGGGAGGCAGCAGUAGGGAAUCUUCCGCAAUGGACGAAAGUCUGACGGAGCAACGCCGCGUGAGUGAUGAAGGUUUUCGGAUCGUAAAGCUCUGUUGUUAGGGAAGAACAAGUGCAAGAGUAACUGCUUGCACCUUGACGGUACCUAACCAGAAAGCCACGGCUAACUACGUGCCAGCAGCCGCGGUAAUACGUAGGUGGCAAGCGUUGUCCGGAAUUAUUGGGCGUAAAGGGCUCGCAGGCGGUUUCUUAAGUCUGAUGUGAAAGCCCCCGGCUCAACCGGGGAGGGUCAUUGGAAACUGGGAAACUUGAGUGCAGAAGAGGAGAGUGGAAUUCCACGUGUAGCGGUGAAAUGCGUAGAGAUGUGGAGGAACACCAG